rnacentral:rRNA from 1 species
GACGAACGCUGGCUGCGUGCUUAACACAUGCAAGUCGAACGGAAAUGCCCUGCUUUUGUUGGGUACUCGAGUGGCGAACGGGUGAGUAACACGUGAGUAACCUGCCCUUGACUUUGGGAUAACUUCAGGAAACUGGGGCUAAUACCGGAUAGGUGCUCCUACUGCAUGGUGGUGGUUGGAAAGUUUCGGCGGUUGGGGAUGGACUCGCGGCUUAUCAGCUUGUUGGUGGGGUAGUGGCUUACCAAGGCUUUGACGGGUAGCCGGCCUGAGAGGGUGACCGGCCACAUUGGGAAUGAGAUACGGCCCAGACUCCUACGGGAGGCAGCAGUGGGGAAUAUUGCACAAUGGGCGGAAGCCUGAUGCAGCAACGCCGCGUGCGGGAUGACGGCGUUCGGGUUGUAAACCGUUUUCGCCUGUGACGAAGCGUGAGUGACGGUAAUGGGUAAAGAAGCACCGGCUAACUACGUG